GAUUAACGCUGGCGGCGUGCAUAACACAUGCAAGUCGAACGAUGAAACUUAAAUGAUUUCUUCGGAAUGAACUUAAGUGGAUUAGUGGCGGACGGGUGAGUAACGCGUGAGUAACCUGCCUUACACAAGGGGAUAGCCGUUGGAAACGACGAAUAAUACCCUAUGAAACUAUCACUUCGCAUGAAGCGAUAGUCAAAGUGUUAGCGGUGUAAGAUGGACUUGCGUCUGAUUAGCUAGUUGGUGAGAAAAAAGCCCACCAAGGCAACGAUCAGUAGCCGGCUUGGGAGAGUGUACGGCCACAUUGGGACUGAGGCACGGCCCAGACUCCUACGGGAGGCAGCAGUGGGGAAUUUUGCACAAUGGGGGAAACCUUGAUGCAGCGACGCCGCGUGAUUUAGAAGGCCUUCGGGUUGUAAAAAUCUUUUGUAUAGGAAGAAAAUGACAGUACUAUACGAAUAAGGUCCGGCUAAUUACGUG
rnacentral:rRNA from 1 species